rnacentral:misc_RNA from 1 species
UUAUAACGGCUGAAUGUUAGGUAGCUCUUUAAGUACCAGAAAACUAGUCUUGAAGGACCUCAACUCUAUCCAUGUCCUAUGAGUCAAGUAUUAUAUCAUUCGCUUUACAUAUGUAAAACCGGUUCCGCACCCUCAGUGUGAACAUCACUAAUGUGCUCUUUCUUCCAAUUAUUUACUCAGUGCUAUAUGGUUGGCCCUCUCACUUGGCCAAAACAAUUCAAGCGGUUAUGACCACUAGUGUAUUGCUAUUGUAUACCAAUUGGAUUCAGUGUUUUUGCUAACGGAGACUAUUGGACAUCGUAAAAGUCAAGAGUGCGGACAGUCGUAUAUUUACCGCAAACUAUUAGCUUGAUUCACAAAGCAAAUAAAAUAGCAAUGAUAUGUGACGAAAAAGCAAAGAAAGUAAAAAAGAUGUAAAGAACACAGAAUUGAGAAUCAAUAAGAAUAAUUAUAGCUUUUGAAAUCGAGUUCAUUAGCGUGAUAAAUGGAAUAAAAUUAAAAUAACAAAGCAACACAAAUGUUGUUGAAUUGUAAUCUACCAACCGACCAACUAACCGAACCGGAUAGCACCCAACAAACGCCCAACCACCAAUAACGCUCACACACGUCGUUCUCCAUAGAAAUUUUAUAUUUUUACGCAAACGUAAGGUUCUACUGCAGUUCUCCGAUCAAUCUAUCAAACGCUUUUAUGUUUGAAUAGAUAUUUAAAAAUGUUGUCAAUGGAAAGUAUUGAAAAAAAUAAUUGUCACAUUUUCUGUUGUCGUUUUUGAAUUUGCAAAACGAAAGCAAAUAAAAAGCAGAAAACACGUCUGGUGAAAAAACGCUUCGCAGUAGCAGCGCGAAAAGCUAACGAACUUUGCAAAAUCACCGAAAACAACUACAACAACGACAGGAACAGGCACUUAGUAUAUAGCAGAACAAAUACGAAGAGGUAACACCCACGGGCACUUGUGCAUACGGACGCACCUAAAUAUACACACAUAUGUCUGUAAAGCUAUAAGCAAGCGUAUAACCACGAGCACAUUAUCACGCAUCACCCAGCGUCAUCUAGAUACACGUCCUCCCACCCUGUACAUAUUGGCACAGUCAUACAAACACUACCAAAACAUUUUCCAUCCUGAAGGCACCUAUGUAUAUUUGUUGCUAUUUGUUGUAACAUCUAGUGAUAAGAACGAACGCACAAAGUAGAAUAGAUCAAAGGUGUAAAGUAGCAAGAAAGGCCAAGAUAGCAGGAGGAAGAGACAAAGCUGAGCAAAAAGUAGUGGUUUACACAAACAAAACGCAGGAGAGGAACGCAGCAGCUACAGCGUCCGUAACGCAACACACCUAUUUAAUUAAUUAAUUUAUUGUAUAAUUUUGCACUAAGCGUGAACAUAUUUUAAUACUUUGCCACAAGGAGUAUAAGUAGAGGAAUAAGUAGAUACCUGCACGUUUUCUCUCAGCUUGCCAAAAACGAAAAAAGAAAAACAAUCCAAAAAGCGACAACCAAAUUCCCUGCGUGUUUUUGGUUGCCUGUCAGUGUGUAUUUAGCCAGAAAUAAUGACAUCAUACGCUACGGCAAAUGAUUCUAACACUACAGCGACAGCAACCACAAUGGAAAAUAUAAAUGCGGCUAACUCAACGGCAGCGUCAACGGACACAGACGCUGAUACAGCCGCAGGGUUGGAGAAUGCCGUAGGCACGUGCAACUUUCACACAACUAGUAUUGAGCGUUCCUCAUAUGAAAGUCCAACAACACCAUCGACAUAUGACUGUGAUAUGCUGCGCAAAUUGGGUGAAACAACGUUGCACCAACAACAGCAGCAACAGCAGCAGCAAGAUCAACAAUUACUAGCCGAUACACCAACAAGCAAUUGUUGCACUGACUACGACUGUGAUUCGUUUUCGGAUGGGCAUGAGAAGACCGAUACAACACCGGAAAAUUUGAAGAAGAUUGAUGAUGUCAUUGAGCAGCAGCAACAGCAACAACUGCAACAGUUAAAAAACCGUUCAUCCUCGCAUUAUCUUAGUAAUUCGCAAUCAACAGCAGCCAGCGAUACAGAUAUAGUUGGUGGUGGGUACGGUGGUAGGGGGUACGGUGUUGGUCUCGCCGUGGCAGUUGAUGACUCAAAUGCGAAAUUUUGUUAUGGCAAACCGCUUUGCAAUGAAAAAGAUAUGUUGAGCAAAAGCGAACGCAUAGAAAGCCACGGCCGCGGCAGCAUCGAUUCGUCGUCAACUGUUGAUUUGGGGAGCAAAAGUAGACUCGGUGCCGAUGGCAACGGCAGUGACAGUGGUUGCGUUACACCGUCCACUAUGCCGGACAAUAAUACCGCGGCGCUGAUCGCCAGUGGCGCGGAGAAUUGUGAGACGUUGACGCGUGAUGACGAUGACUCUUCUUCGUCAAAUGCAACAAAUACUACAACCACAGCAACAACAAAUAAGCAAUCAUAUGCUUUUACUAUCGAUAAUUUCAAUGACAGCGGUUGUGAUCCUGAAGCAGCUAAAGCGCGUUACAAGAGCAUGAUGGAACGUUUUCAGAGCCGCCAUCGACGCGGCGCUUCCAUGUCCAAGCUGGAGGCUGGUGACACAGCGACGAAUAAGGAAAGCGCAAUGACCAGCUCCGUGUCUGCCACGCCGCUGAGCGGCAAUAGCAGCAGACAUGCGCGUAACAGCGGCGGCACAGCAGAUAACUCCUUCGAUAGUGGUGGCGGUGAUGCGCCUAAAGUGAAGCUGCGUGUGCGCGAUCGCAGUACGUCGCGUGUACGAGAUGCCAGCAAACGGCACAGUUGGUCGCCGCGUUCGAGUACUCAAGAGUCGCAGCUACACGGUGGACACGGUGGCCAGCAUGCCAUCGCGCAUACGCCUUCCGCCACGCGCACGGCGCAUAAUAACAACGCAAACGAUCGUUCGGGCAUUGCGCAGAAGCCUCUACCGCCAACGCGUAAAAAUGUCAGUAAGCAAAAGCCACCGCCGCUGCAGUUGCCUAAAGGUGCUGCCAACCUUGUAGCGAAUCGCACACAAUUCACGCCGCGUUCGACCGCUAUGCAGUUGGCUUUACAGAAGGUAGACUUUUUAUGCGCGCAACCACCGCUUGCCGAGUUGAAAAACUACAAUUUGGAGGCGGAUAAUAUCAGUGAAACCGGCACUUAUACGCUUGAUGGUGAUAAUUAUACAGAAGAGCAAAAGGAUUUGAUGAACAUAGACAAGAGUGCGAAGCAGGCAUUGAAGGCGCAACAGCAACGCCCGAGAAAUUUGCAACUCAGCAGCAGCAUGGUGGAUGUGGAAGCACAUCAGAGCAACACGAAAAUUCCGGUGCAUGUGCAUAAUCGCUCGAAUGUGCUCGAGGUGAACUACUACCACGACACCGAAACAGAACAAGCGCCACAAUCGCCACACGCUUACAAUGAGCGUGAUUUAAUUUUAGGUUCUCAUGAAUCUGCGGGCGCUUACUUGGAGAAGAUAAAGUCGCGCGUGCUACGCAAUGCUUCGGCGACUAAGAGUUCGCCACCGGUCGUUGCUGAAAUCGGAGAGAAAACCCCUACGGAAGACGAUGGCGAUUUGGGUUGCUUCACUAGCGUGACAACCAGCGGUGUGCUGGCUAAGAAGAGUGCGCUUGAUCCGCGACCGCGCCUAACACGUAAAUCCGGCCUGUCUACAUCGCAGAUAGAUUCCUCAGAGUAUGUGAGCAAUGAGGCGAAAUUGAAGACGAAUACCGCAAGUGCAUAUGCCGGCGGCGGUUUCACAGAUCAUCAGAAGGCCGAAUAUCGCCUCAACUUGUUCACAAACCAAAAGGACAAUACACAAGCGAAAUUUGCCGCAACGCGAAGCUACAUUGAGUCGCCACCGGAAACGCCUACUCAUCAUAAGUUGUCCGAUGCAGCGGUGUUGAAGACGGCACAAACGAAAAACGAUUGGAUACAGGAGUGGGCACGUAAUGCGCGUGCGCGUAGCCUCGCUUCAGAGACGUCCAAGACGCGCAUACAUUCGGACGCGUCGCAAUCGGCGUUGAUGACGCGCAGCUACACGUGCGCCUCCGAUACAGCUGCUGCGGGUGGAGAUUCACUCACCGACGAUAGCAUAUACAAUAGCAAGCAGUGCAUUAGCGCUGCCAAAUUGAAUCGUAGUCUAGCCGAGCGUUAUCGCUUGUCGGGCGAGUGUGAUUAUUCGAGUGAUCCGACGUUGUCGAGUGGCGCGUACAGUAGCGGUGGACAGCCGGCCGAGGGCAUUUGCAAGCCACCAAAGAGUCCUUCGAAAAUACCCUCACCGCUGCAUUCUAUUGGGCGUGCGCGGAGUGCAAGUCGUACGCGUGCGCCGCUGCAGAAUGUGAUGUUACAGGGUGGCGGCGGCGUUGGAGACGAGGAGGCCGAUAUUUAUUUGCAGAAGACAGCGGCUGCUAUUAGUAAUUUACAGCAAUCGUUGUCACGUAAAAAUUCACUAAAAUCGCCGCCCACAACACAUUCGUCAGCGUCGCCACGUGCGCACUCGGCACGCUCGCACGCUCAUUCCUCGGCGCUGUACUCGCCGCCAGACGACUGCGGUAGUCCACAGCACGGUCUGGGCUCGCCCACCUCUGCGGCCAGCGGCAGCGCUUACCAUCACUCACCGUUGCAUCGGCGCGUUGCUACGAAUGAUCCCUACGGUCGUAAUGCACAGCAUUUGCAGCUGAUGACGAGCAGCUUCAAUGAGCAGCAAUUGAAAUUGCUCACCAGCGGCGAAUACUUGGCGCGGCAGAUGCGCGCACGUAAGAACUCCUUCGAUGGUAAUAUCGGCAACUCACCAGCACGCCGCGCAGCAGCAGUGGCAGCGGCAAAUGCGCAAGCACAACAAGCGCAAGCCGGACAAAGCGGUCAUGAGUCGCCAUUGCGUCGUUCCAGUUCGUUUUCGGCGAAGAUAGCGACAACGCAGCGUGCAGCGCGUCCACAAUUCUCAAAUAUCUACACACCACCGGCGGCGCGUCAUAACUAUUCGCUGGUUGGCGGCGGUGAUGGGCGGUCCGCAGCGGCAGCGGCGCACGGCAAUGCUAGCAUUAUCAAAAAGUCAGCUAGCAGCAACAAUUUCCGGCAUGCGAUCGGUGAUUACGAUGAAAAUUUCCAAUAUUAUAUCAACGACGAAGAUGAUAUGGGCGAAGAGUAUUAUUCCAGUGGUGCGGAGGAGGUCGAAGAGGAGGAGUUGGAAGACGACAACGACCACUACUACCAGCAUCAGGAUGAGGACGACGUACAAGCGGAAGUGGAAAAUACCGCCAGCGUACCACUCUCCAACACGCGUCUGAACAAAGCGCUACUGAUGCGUAUCGAGCGUAGCAAACAACGUGUAAGCGGUGCUUCCGGCACAACCAAGCCAACCUCUGCGCCUGUUUCCAGAUUCCAACAACAACAUCAACAGGCGGCCGGUACAUGCGGCGUCAUGGCAUGCCCUAACACGCCCGAACUACCGCGGCGUGGCAUACGCAGCGCACCGCGAGCAGGCGGCGCCGCAACGGCGCGACAGUCAGUGCCGCGUGACACUAGUCUCAGUCGUUUGGCAUCGCAGGUACCCAACUCGUUGGCCUCGGCCAAGAAACAGCUACUGCAAACUGCCGCCGCUGUGCCAACGGCAACAAAGCUGACCAAUCAACGGGUGCAACCCAAGUAUUUGGACAUAUCGAAGUACAAGCCAGCACAAGGCAAUAAUUUUCUACGCAAGAAUGAUUCCAAAAGCACACUGAAAACGUCGGCAUUAACUGGCGACGUAAUGAAACGCAGUCCGAGUAGCUCAUCGAUGGGGCUGAGUCGUGCGGAUCCGACACGCACCAGCAAUCGCAGUGUACGCUCGGUGGCCUCGUGCAUGACCACAAGCGGCACUACGCUUGGCGGUGGUGGCGGCGGCGGCGGCGGUCGUGCCUCAUCAGCGGUGCGUAGAGACCAGUCGGUCACUAAACAAAAAGAAGCAGAAAUGGCUAUGUGGAAACGUCGCUCGACGUACGAUCCGAUGAAGGCCGCUGCAGAAGAUCGCCGCAAGAAGGAAGAAGCCAAACGUUUGGUGAUCGCCAAGAAUAUGGGCGAAAUGCCGUGCGAAAGGCCAUCUAGAUCUCCCUAUCGUCGUGGGCAAUUAUGACCGGAAGGGUUGCUUAUAACUGAUCUGUAAGCUCAACUACUACAAAAUCUUACUAUUCUUUAUAUUUGCCAAUAUUACCACCACCACGAACGAAUUCCAUCCAUCCACGACAACAUUUACAUCAAGCGAAAAUAAUAAAGAAUCAUAAAUGGAAAUGGAAACUCAUUAGUCACCUGCUCCUUGCAAAUUGUUGGCGUCGCAUUUUUGUGAUUAGCACUGGUUAAAAACAACUGUACAAUAAUCAAUUUGUAAUGCUAAUUAAACCAGUUAACUAUUGAAUGCGAAAUGCCAACAGCAAGGAGUCUAGUGUGUCUUGAUUACAAACAUACAACGAAAGAAAAACAGCAAAAACUAAAAAAGCAUAUGAAAAUACCACAACCCGCAAAGAACGCGGGAGUAAAGCUUUUUAAAAAUUAUGCCCAAUCUAAAAAUGAAAAUAAAAAAAACGCUACGACGCAAAGCAACAAACUAAAUUAACGAGACAAUACGAAAAAGCAAAAACAAAAAAUCUACGAAUCAAAAUCAAAACUACCAACAAUUUAACAAUUAAGCGAAGCUAGCAAGCGAAACGAGCGAACAAGCGAAUUCGAAAACAAUGAAAAAUUCAACCAUAACAAACAGCAGUAGAAACAGCAGCAUACUUUUAGGCGUACGAAUCAACUAUUUGCCAAAGCCAACAGCAAACUGUCAACAAGCAACGGACGCAACACGUACGCCGCCGCCAUAUAAAAAACAACUUUCACUGGAUGAACAAUGGACCGAAUAUGGUGAGGAAGAAUGCGUAUAGAACUAGGGAUGGAAACAAGGAAGCGAUGUUCAUGUAAAAUGUUUAAGGAAUUUGAACACGAACAAAUACGUUGAAGGGAAAUAUUUUGAAAAGUGAUAUAUUUAGGAGCAACUAUUUAAAAAAAUUAAAUAAAUAUGUAUUGAUAAAUAUUGUUAAACAAAAACUAAGAACAACAAUUGCUGGUAGCAUAGACUAUAGAAAAAUAUGUGAAUUGAGUAUGCUGAUUAAGGGACAGUAAGAUGUGAAUUGUGUAAUUUAUAAGUAUGAGUAGAUGGCCGAAAUGUAAAAUGCGUGCUGCUGUGUUGGCAAACUGCUUUAUACUAUAUAGAAAUUAAACUUUGAUAAAUGCAUAAUAUGCAUAUAUGUAUGUAGUAGCUAUCAUACUCUAAAUGAAAUAAUAAUUAAAUAUAUUUAAUAUUAUAUGUAUGUAUUAUAUGCAACUAUUUUGUGAAUGCCAUACACAGUUUAUUAUGUGCUUGUGUAUGUUUGAUAGUACAUAACACACAAAAGCAAAUACAUUUCCUAACUAAUAAUAAACGAAUAGAAUAUUUCUUUGAUAAAAUAUCGAUGUAAAUUUUCUUUGCAACAAUGAAAUUAAAUGAAAAGAAGAAAAAAACUGCGAAAAUACUCGAUAAUUUUUUUUGAUUUUGUAUUAAGUUAUAUGCUGCUUUUGAAGAUUAAUGCUUAUAUUUAAAGGAAAAUAGUCACUAUUAAUGAGGUAAUUCAAAUGAUUUUUGUUUAACAUUUUCAUUUACAGCUGAGUCAUAAAUAAAUGUAUUCAUGCAAAUUAUCCUGUUGUAAUGCAUGCAUAUGCGCAUAUCUGCAGACAGAUGUGCGUAAAUAAAUAAUACAAACAAAGUAUGUUUUUUUUACAUUGCUGUAAUAGGCGCUGUAAUAAUUUUUAUGAUUUAAGUCGACGCUUUAGUAUUCAAACAAAUGUAAAGAAAUUUGGAAAAGCUACUGCGGCGUGUUUGCGGGAGUAAUGUGAAAUUAAUUUUUUUAUGAGAAAAAAUAAACAAUUCAGAACUAAAAUAUGUAAUAAAAAGUUGUCGGAUAAAAGUGGGUCAUGCGUUUUCACAGAGCAUCCUGAAUGAGAGUUUUGAAAAUUCAUGAAAAAUCGUUGGCUAAGUGUAACCAUGUUUUCACUCGCUUUUUGAACCGCUAAUAAUUUUUGCUUGCAAUUACUUAAAAUAAAGCUGCCCCUACACAUACUCCUCCCGCAAACGCUCUCGUAUAUAAUCGAAAUAGUCAUUUCAAUUUAGGAUUUAUUAAAAUAUAGGCAAAUAAAUACCUAUAAAACAACAACAGUAAGCAGCUUUAAAAUAAAGAAAAAUAACUAUUUAAUUUUUUUUUUUUUUGGAAUUCAUGGUGUUGGUGAAGCAUUGGUUUGUGGCUUGCAAUCGUAUCGACUAAUUUACUCGUCCUUUCGUGUCGCACAGCGAAGUGAAAAAUAUAAACAAUAGUAAUAAUUAUAAAAAAAAACUUCACUAUUUUGCUAAAUAAAAACUCAGUCGUGAUCUCUUGCCUGCAGACUGUACGUAUUUGUCUGGACAGCUCCGAAUUGCAGCCACAAACCAUUGCUCGUGUUAUUUAUCCGCUUUGCGAUUAUUACACUAUUAUUAUUAUUAUUAUUAUAAUUAAACUAUAGAUGAUAGUUAGUUGAAAGUGACUGUUAAAUGAUUUGCUUGACUGCCGAUUACAACAAAUAAAAUUCUUAAAUAACUACAAACUGAAAAAUUUGCAAUUGCAAACCGUCUGAAUAAAAAUUUAUACAUAAAUUUAUGUAUGUAUGAAUACAAUACAAUUACAUCCAAGAAAUUGCCGUGCAAGUCACACACAUUUUAAGUCAUAAAAAGCUAGUUUUAAAAAUUUUUUAACGAAACUGUUUUUGAAUUGCAUAUAAAUAUUUUAAGUUCUUUACACAACGACUAAAUAGCGAGCAAAAACUAAUUAACUCGAAGAACAAAGCACUUAAGCUAUUAAUAUUGAUAUUUAAAAAAGUAUAUAUACCUACACACACAGAGCAUCGCAUGUAUUUUGAAACCGUAAAAUAUUUUGCUGACGAAUAACAAAUACUUAGCUGUCAUACAUAUAAUACCUAUUUGAAAACUCAAACAUAUGUACAUGAAUUGUAAAAUGCCAAAUGAACUAAAAAAAAAAAAAUAUUUGUGAAAUGAAAUAGCAAAAAUUGAAGUAAUAAAAAGAAAGCUAAAAAAAGUUUUGCCGUGAGAACUUUAUGGCCACAUAUUACUAAAUAUAUACAGACAUUAAAACAUAGAUAACGAAAAAUGAGUAUAUCGUUUUGGUUCAGAGUAGUUGAAAUAAAAGUUGUAGAAAUAAAAAUUGAAACGAAAUUUGAAA